rnacentral:ncRNA from 1 species
GCCCGGAGCGAUUAAAAGGGAAUCAGGUGAAAGGCCUGAACAGACCCGCUACUGUAAGUUCCAUAUCAACCUCCGGAUACUAUACGAAUGUCACUGGCCACCCUGCGGCCGGGAAGGCAGUCCGGGAGGGGAACAAGUCAGGAGACCUGCCAUGCGGCUUA